rnacentral:rRNA from 1 species
UCUGUUAUGCAAUAAUUACACUCAAAUAGUUAUCAAUAUAUAAGAAAUAUAAAUAUAUAAAUAUACACAGCAAUGGAAAAUAUAAUAAUAAAAAGUAAAUUAUAU